AUUUCAAUGGAUGGAGAAAGCUCAUGGAUCACAUUUGCUUUCAGAAAAUACUGUAAUGCUAGAACUUAAGGUUUGGAGUGAUAUUUUUUUGUUCUCGAGGGAAAAUUUUAUUAUGACAUGUAAUUCAGUGCUCUUGCAGCGUUUGAGCAAAAUUGAUGUUGUUAUGAAAACAAGUAUUCUAUCUAGAUCGACCAGUAAGUUACAUCAAGAAGUCGUUUCUGGAUUACGAAAUAGCAUCUUACAAUCUGUCAAAAAAGAUA